rnacentral:rRNA from 1 species
UACGUAGGGACCGAGCGUUGUCCGGAAUCAUUGGGCGUAAAGAGCGCGUAGGCGGCCAGAUAAGUCCGGUGUGAAAGUCAAAGGCUCAACCUUUGAAUGCCGCUGGAAACUGUCUGGCUAGAGUCCGGGAGGGGCGAGUGGAAUUCCUGGUGUAGCGGUGAAAUGCGCAGAUAUCAGGAGGAACACCAAUGGCGAAGGCAGCUCGCUGGAACGGUACUGACGCUGAGGCGCGAAAGCGUGGGGAGCAAACAGG